GGCUUUUUGAGAUACAACUUUGCCACGUGCAACUCAAACCUAUACCACGUAGUUCUUCCUCUAGAUCGGAUUUUUGCGGAGCUCGGGCGGAGCCCUGCAGGAGCAAAUCAUCACCACCACUGGAGCGCCGUCACGCUGCCGGAGAACUCAUAUACUUCUCCGUCUUUCUUGCUGGAUCAAGAAGGCCGAGAUCGUCAUCGAGCUGUACGUGUGCUGAACGCGGAGGUGCCGUCCGUUUGGCGCUAGAUCGGAACGAAUCGUGUGACGACGGUGAUUUGAAUCACGAAGUUGUACCACUACAUCAACCGUGUAUUUUAACGCUUCCCGCUUAGUGAUCUACAAGGGUAUGUAGAUCUAAUC
rnacentral:lncRNA from 1 species